rnacentral:rRNA from 1 species
CAGUCGCCGCGGGAACACGUAGGGUGCAAGCGUUAAUCGGAAUUACUGGGCGUAAAGCGUGCGCAGGCGGUUAUAUAAGACAGAUGUGAAAUCCCCGGGCUCAACCUGGGAACUGCAUUUGUGACUGUAUAGCUAGAGUACGGCAGAGGGGGAUGGAAUUCCGCGUGUAGCAGUGAAAUGCGUAGAUAUGCGGAGGAACACCGAUGGCGAAGGCAAUCCCCUGGGCCUGUACUGACGCUCAUGCACGAAAGCGUGGGGAGCAAACAGGAUUAGAUACCCGCGUAGUCCCUGUCUCUUAUAC